rnacentral:tRNA from 2 species
GGGGCCAUAGCUCAGUUGGCAGAGCGCCUGCUUUGCAAGCAGGAGGUCGCCGGUUCGAUCCCGGCUGGCUCCA